AUUGAACGCUGGCGGCAGGCUUAACACAUGCAAGUCGAGCGGGGUGAUGGUGCUUGCACUAUCACUUAGCGGCGGACGGGUGAGUAAUGCUUAGGAAUCUGCCUAUUAGUGGGGGACAACAUCUCGAAAGGGAUGCUAAUACCGCAUACGUCCUACGGGAGAAAGCAGGGGAUCACUGGUGACCUUGCGCUAAUAGAUGAGCCUAAGUCGGAUUAGCUAGUUGGUGGGGUAAAGGCCUACCAAGGCGACGAUCUGUAGCGGGUCUGAGAGGAUGAUCCGCCACACUGGGACUGAGACACGGCCCAGACUCCUACGGGAGGCAGCAGUGGGGAAUAUUGGACAAUGGGGGGAACCCUGAUCCAGCCAUGCCGCGUGUGUGGAGAAGGCCUUAUGGUUGUAAAGCACUCUAAGCGAGGAGGAGGCUCUUUUGGUUAAUACCCAAGAUGAGUGGACGUUACUCGCAGAAUAAGCACCGGCUAACUCUGUGCCAGCAGCCGCGGUAA
rnacentral:rRNA from 1 species